UUUCCGGUUGAUCCUGCCAGAGGUCACUGCUAUCGGUGUUCGACUAAGCCAUGCGAGUCAAAUGUUCUUCGUGAACAUGGCGUACUGCUCAGUAACACGUGGAUAACCUGCCCUUAGGUCUGGCAUAACCCCGGGAAACUGGGGAUAAUUCCGGAUAGAUCAUCGAUGCUGGAACGCGCUUUGAUCCAAAGCUAUUGUGCCUAAGGAUGGGUCUGCGGUCUAUCAGGUUGUAGUGGGUGUAAUGUACCUACUAGCCUACGACGGAUACGGGUUGUGGGAGCAAGAGCCCGGAGAUGGAUUCUGAGACAUGAAUCCAGGCCCUACGGGGCGCAGCAGGCGCGAAAACUUUACAAUGCGGGGAACCGCGAUAAGGGGACACCGAGUGCCAGCAUCCUAUGUUGGCUGUCCAUAUGUCUAAAUCACAUGUGUUAGCAAGGGCCGGGCAAGACCGGUGCCAGCCGCCGCGGUAACACCGGCGGCCCGAGUGGUGGCCACUAUUAUUGGGUCUAAAGGGUCCGUAGCCGGUUUGGUCAGUCUUCCGGGAAAUCUGACGGCUCAACCGUUAGGCUUUCGGGGGAUACUACCAGGCUUGGGACCGGGAGAGGUAAGAGGUACUACGGGGGUAGGAGUGAAAUCUUGUAAUCCCUGUGGGACCACCAGUGGCGAAGGCGUCUUACCAGAACGGGUCCGACGGUGAGGGACGAAAGCUGGGGGCACGAACCGGAUUAGAUACCCGGGUAGUCCCAGCUGUAAACUAUGCUCGCUAGGUGUCAGGGACGGUGCGGCUGUUUCUGGUGCCGCAGGGAAGCCGUGAAGCGAGCCACCUGGGAAGUACGGUCGCAAGGCUGAAACUUAAAGGAAUUGGCGGGGGAGCACUACAACGGGUGGAGCCUGCGGUUUAAUUGGAUUCAACGCCGGG
rnacentral:rRNA from 1 species